GACGAACGCUGGCGGCGUGCCUAAUACAUGCAAGUAGAACGCACAGUUUAUACCGUAGCUUGCUACACCAUAGACUGUGAGUUGCGAACGGGUGAGUAACGCGUAGGUAACCUGCCUGGUAGCGGGGGAUAACUAUUGGAAACGAUAGCUAAUACCGCAUAAUAUUGAUUAUUGCAUGAUAAUUGAUUGAAAGAUGCUAUUGCAUCACUACCAGAUGGACCUGCGUUGUAUUAGCUAGUAGGUGAGGUAACGGCUCACCUAGGCGACGAUACAUAGCCGACCUGAGAGGGGGAUCGGCCACACUGGGACUGAGACACGGCCCAGACUCCUACGGGAGGCAGCAGUAGGGAAUCUUCGGCAAUGGACGAAAGUCUGACCGAGCAACGCCGCGUGAGUGAAGAAGGUUUUCGGAUCGUAAAGCUCUGUUGUAAGAGAAGAACGGGUGUGAGAGUGGAAGGUUCACACUGUGACGGUAUCUUACCAGAAAGGGACGGCUAACUACGUG
rnacentral:rRNA from 1 species